CAGGCAAUGGACUAUUGGGAACUGAGCUGCAAUUGAGAGGGGAAUCAUGAGCACAACUGAAACGGAUGCUUCUUGCUGUAAAGUUCCCACUGUUAUACGGAUUUUCUUGAGCUGCCCAAAAGUUCUUAGCAUACAAAUCUCCAUAGAGGUAACUGCAAAUGCAACCAUCCUUAUGUCAAGUUUAGUUUCCUAAUCGUAUAUCAACAAUCUAGGGUGUGUUCAUAUUUACCUUCCAUAUAUGCAGGGAUCAGUCUUGGAGCGAUAAACAUAGCCACCUGAUAUGGCCGCAGAUCCAACUUCUUUGUUUACUUCAGAAUGGGUGUAUCCUAACACUGGGAAGAUGGGAUCAACAAAGUCAUCAGCUGAAGCAUUUUUA
rnacentral:lncRNA from 1 species